UCUUUUUUUACUAUUUUACCUUAAUUGAAUGUAGUAAUCAUAAAUACACUGGUUUGUAAUGCAAAAUAGUUUUACCGUUAACUGCACUUUGUUGUU